GCACAUUUAACCUCUCAUUUGAGCCCUUUCUCUUAUAUCCUUUACUGAACUCUAUAGGCUGUAAUUCCUUGUUAUCCUUUAUUGCUUUCUUAUAAUUUGCUUACUUGUGAAGCUUGUUAAAGAUAGCGUUCUAACGCUCUUUAGCUUGUGUUUUAUUUUGAGGUUUGAAGCUUCUUAUACACUAAUGAAUGAAAUUUUAGUGUAACACUUUGGUCAAUUGGCAGUCCAUUGCUAAUAUGGAAUGCAAGAGUAGUUCUUUCUUAUUCAUUACUUGUAUUUAUUUAAAUCAUAAUGUUCUGUUUUGUGUGGGUGAGCCUUU
rnacentral:misc_RNA from 1 species